AUUGAACGCUGGCGGCAUGCCUUACACAUGCAAGUCGAACGGCAGCACGGGAGCAAUCCUGGUGGCGAGUGGCGAACGGGUGAGUAAAGUAUCGGAACGUGCCCAGUCGUGGGGGAUAACGUAGCGAAAGUUACGCUAAUACCGCAUACGAUCUAUGGAUGAAAGCGGGGGAUCGCAAGACCGCGCGCGAUUGGAGCGGCCGAUAUCAGGUUAGGUAGUUGGUGGGGUAAAGGCCCACCAAGCCGACGAACUGUAGCUGGUCUGAGAGGACGACCAGCCACACUGGGACUGAGACACGGCCCAGACUCCUACGGGAGGCAGCAGUGGGGAAUUUUGGACAAUGGGCGAAAGCCUGAUCCAGCCAUGCCGCGUGCAGGAUGAAGGCCUUCGGGUUGUAAACUGCUUUUGUACGGAACGAAAAGGACUGCCCUAAUACGGUGGUCCCAUGACGGUACCGUAAGAAUAAGCACCGGCUAACUACGUGCCAGCCGCCGCAGUAAUAC
rnacentral:rRNA from 1 species